rnacentral:rRNA from 1 species
GUAGGUGGCAAGCGUUGUCCGGAAUUAUUGGGGCGUAAAGCGCGCGCAGGCGGUCCUUUAAGUCUGAUGUGAAAGCCCACGGGCUCAACCGUGGAGGGUCAUUGGAAGCUGGGGGACUUGAGUACAGAAGAGGAGAGCGGAAUUCCAAGUGUAGCGGUGAAAUGCGUAGAGAUUUGGAGGAACACCAGUGGCGAAGGCGGCUUUCUGGUCUAUAACUGACGCUGAGGCGCGAAAGCGUGGGGAGCAAACAGGAUUAGAUACCCUGGUAGUCCACGCCGUAAACGAUGAGUGCUAAGUGUUAGGGGGUUUCCGCCCCUUAGUGCUGCAGCUAACGCAUUAAGCACUCCGCCUGGGGAGUACGGCCGCAAAGGCUG